CUUUGGAAAAAGUCCACCUUCCCCUCUUUCUUCAUUAGCUUGUCUUCCUUCAGUUUCCCUGGACCCCCAGAUGCAAAUCAGUACAGAGUCAUUUCAUUCCUUCUCUGCAGUAAAGGUGUCACUGGGCCUCUGCCCUUCCAUCUGUUUCCUUCGUUCUCCUCCUCCCCACCCCACAACCCUUCAAUCUACUUAUGGGCUUUUGUUUAGGAGCUGUAAGGAGCAUGGGAUGGAGGGGAAUGGUUUGGGAAGGUUGAAGUCUAUUCCCAGUGUGACCCCAGGAACUAGGUUUGAGUUUCAUGGUAAGAGGAUAGAACCUUUGUAGCCACCAUUUAUUGACUGCUUACUGUGUUUCCAACACCCUGCUAAGUGCUUUUGUGCUUUAUCUUCUUAAUAUUGAAAACUGUCCUAUGAGGUAUUAUUUUAUCCCAUAUUAUAGAUGAGGAAACUGUGGCUUAUAGAAAUUAAGUAGCCUGCCUAUUGCCACAGUGCUAAUAAAUGGUGGAGCCAAGUUCAUAGACAUCAGACCCUCAUUGUGUAACACUGCCCUCGAUUAUAACAGGCAUAUACUUUUAAAUUGUUUAAUAGGAUGUCUUCUCAAAAUACACAGAAAUAAAUGAUGGGCAUAUAUACUUGUAUAUAUCAACAACCAGUUACACUGAGUGUAUAUGAACAACAACCAAUUAGAAGACAAAAUGAAGGAAGGAAAAGACCCCAGUUACAAUAGGUUUUUUAAAAAGGAAAGGAAAGUGAAGGAAGGAAGGAAAGGAGACAUAAGAUCCCCAGGAGCAGAAUUAACAACAAAAAAAUGUACAAGAUCUACAUGAAGAAAAAAAAAAUUUUUUUUUUUUUUUUGAGACAAUGUCUCACUAUGUUGCUUAGGCUGGUCUCGAACUCCUGGGCUCAAGAGAUCCUCCCACCUUGGCCUCCCAAAGUGCUUGGAUUACAGGCAUGAGCCACUGCUCCCAACCAAGAAAUACAUAUAUAUAUGUGGUUUUUUUGGGUUUUUUUGUUUGUUUGUUUGUUUGUUUGA
rnacentral:lncRNA from 10 species